CAAGCAUGUCUAGUAUAGCAAUCUAUACUGUGAAACUGCGAACGGCUCAUUAAAUCAGUUAUAAUUUAUUUGAUGGUACCUUACUACAUGGAUAACUGUGGUAAUUCUAGAGCUAAUACAUGCAUAAAAGGCCCUUCACGGGGUUGUAUUUAUUAGAUAAAAGACCAAUGGCUUCGGCCUGUAGGUGAAUCAUGAUAACUGCUCGAAGCGCAUGGCCUUGUGCCGGCGCUGCAUCAUUCAAAUACCUGCCCUAUCAACUUUCGAUGGUAGGAUAGAGGCCUACCAUGGUUGCGACGGGUAACGGGGAAUUAGGGUUCGAUUCCGGAGAGAGAGCCUGAGAAACGGCUCUCAUAACUAAGGUUAGCAGCAGGCGCGCAAAUUAUCCACUCUCGAUACGAGGAGAUAGUGACAAUAAAUAACAAUAGAGGGCUCUUUUGGGUCUUCUAAUUGGAAUGAGUACAAUUUAAACCCCUUAACGAGGAUCAAUUGGAGGGCAAGUCUGGUGCCAGCAGCCGCGGUAAUUCCAGCUCCAAUAGCGUAUAUUAAAAUUGUUGGCGUUAAAAAGCUCGUAGUCGAACUUCGGUGGUUGAAGGCCGGUCCGCUUUUUACGAGUGUGUACUGGAUCCUUUAGUCGCUUUACCUCCUGGUGAACUUGCAUGUCGUUCAUUCGGCGUGUAAGGGAACCCGGACAUUUACUUUGAAAAAAUUAGAGUGUUCAAAGCAGGCAUGUUUGCCCGAAUAUCUUAGCAUGGAAUAAUAGAAUAGGACGUGCACGCCUAUUGUGUUGGUCUCUAGGUGUGCCGUAAUGAUGAAUAGGGGCGGUUGGGGGCAUUUGUAUUCAAUUGCUAGAGGUGAAAUUCUUGGAUUUAUUGAAGACAAACUACUGCGAAGCAUUUGCCAAGGACGCUUUCAUUGAUCAAGAACGAAGGUCGGGGGAUCGAAACGAUUAGAUACCGUUGUAGUCUCGACAGUAACGAUGUUGACUGGGGAUCAGUCGGGUUUUAUUUUUAUGACCCGAUUGCACCCAAGAGAAUCUAGUGAAAUUCGCGGGGGGAGUACGGUCACAGCUGAAACUUAAAUGAGUAUAUCGACAGAGAGGAG
rnacentral:rRNA from 1 species